rnacentral:misc_RNA from 1 species
GUUGUUUUGGACUUAAUUCAGAUCCAAAACUUCUGUAAAUUCUGGAACUAAGGUUGUUCAGACAUAUAUGGGAUGGCCCAUGUAGCUAGCAGGCCCAAUUUAGUAUGUCCGGUUUUUUUGUUAGUUUUGUUCAUCUUCACUGUUCUGUGGAACGUACGGGUGCCGACAGCCUUCAGGUGUUGUUUUUCAAGCAAUUGUAUCCGUUUUCAGAAAAUUAAAGGAAGUUUGGGGGGAAAAAUAAAUAACUAUGAAACAAGGAAGUGAUCGG